ACUGCUGACUUGAGUAGCCCAUGUACUAAAUUGGAACAACACAGAGAAGAUUAGCAUGGCCCCUGCUCAAAGAUGACAGAUAUUUGUGAAGUGAUCCAUAUUUCU
ensembl:snRNA U6 U6 spliceosomal RNA